rfam:Pseudomonas sp. M47T1 contig032, whole genome shotgun sequence.
AUGGGCUGCACUUGCUGUCGAUGACAGCGCCCAGGCAGCUCGAACCUUCAAGGCUGCGCCAUUUCGAUGGUGGUUCUCCCAAGUGCGAUUCGCGUUCGGCAGCUCGCACGGUCAUCGAUUCGUCGGUGAUGAGCGC